UGCCUAGAGUAGGCUAUUCUCUCAUCCUCCAUGCCUAAAGGUGUUGGGCUGAUCCUUAUGUGCACUUGAAGGUGUUUAGGUGCUGUUUGAUCGAAGGAAGAAGAUGGCUAUGGUGAGUAUCGAUCCAUCAGUCUCAGAAGUUAGAUUGUUGCUAAUCGAGAGCCCCAGAUCCUCCUUGGAGAAGAUGGAUCAGAUCUAGAGAAAGCAUCCUAGAUGAAAGUUCGAGUGGAAAUAUGCAGAGAUUGGGU
rnacentral:lncRNA from 1 species